UACGGGGGGGGGCAAGCGUUGUUCGGAAUUACUGGGCGUAAAGGGCUCGUAGGCGGCCAACUAAGUCAGACGUGAAAUCCCUCGGCUUAACCGGGGAACUGCGUCUGAUACUGGAUGGCUUGAAUUCGGGGAGAGGGAUGCAGAAUUCCAGGUGUAGCGGUGAAAUGCGUAGAUAUCUGGAGGAAUACCGGUGGCGAAGGCGGCAUCCUGGACCGACAUUGACGCUGAACGGCGAAAGCUAGGGGAGCAAACGGG
rnacentral:rRNA from 1 species